rnacentral:rRNA from 1 species
GACGGAGGAUGCAAGUGUUAUCCGGAAUCACUGGGCGUAAAGCGUCUGUAGGUGGUUCGAAAAGUCCACUGUUAAAAAUUGAGGCUUAACUUCAAAGAUGCCGUGGAAACUUUCAAACUAGAGUAUGGUAGGGGUAGAGGGAAUUUCCGGUGGAGCGGUGAAAUGCGUAGAUAUUGGAAAGACCACCGAUGGCGAAGGCACUCUACUGGGCCAUUACUGACACUGAGAGACGAAAGCUAGGGGAGCAAAUGGG